AAAGUCGUAACAAGGUUUCCGUAGGUGAACCUGCGGAAGGAUCAUUGCUGAUUGGUUGGGGGAUGGUGGGGGUUGGUUGUUGAUGGUUGUUGAUGGGCUGCUGGUGUGAGCCAGUGACUUGAUGCAGCCAACAGCUACCCUCACCUCACCACCCCUCGCACAUUUACGCUUGGAGUGUUUGACAGAGUAGAAUGAGCAAUAACGUUGACAACUUUUAACAAUGGAUCUCUUGGCUCUU
rnacentral:misc_RNA from 1 species